rnacentral:rRNA from 1 species
UNUGACUUGCAGCGCGAACUGGUUUACUUGAGUGUGCACAACGUAGGCGGAAUUCGUCGUGUAGCGGUGAAAUGCUUAGAUAUGACGAAGAACUCCGAUUGCGAAGGCAGCUUACGGGAGCACAACUGACGCUGAAGCUCGAAGGUGCGGGUAUCAAACAGGAUUAGAUACCCUGGUAGUCCGCACAGUAAACGCUGGAUGCCCGCUGUUGGCUCAUUAGAGUCAGCGGCCAAGCGGAAGCAUUAAGCAUCCCACCUGGGGAGUACGCCGGCAACGGUGAAACUCAAAGGAAUUGACGGGGGCCCGCACAAGCGGAGGAACAUGUGGUUUAAUUCGAUGAUACGCGAGGAACCUUACCCGGGCUUGAAUUGCAGACGAACGCGGCAGAGAUGCCAAGGCCCUUCGGGGCGUCUGUGAAGGUGCUGCAUGGUUGUCGUCAGCUCGUGCCGUGAGGUGUCGGCUUAAGUGCCAUAACGAGCGCAACCCCUUUUCUUAGUUGCCAUCAGGUAGAGCUGGGCACUCUGGGAAUACUGCCACCGUAAGGUGUGAGGAAGGUGGGGAUGACGUCAAAUCAGCACGGCCCUUACGUCCGGGGCUACACACGUGUUACAAUGGCCGGUACAGA